rnacentral:rRNA from 1 species
GUGUCAGCCGCCGCGGUAAUACGUAGGUGGCAAGCGUUGUCCGGAUUUACUGGGCGUAAAGAGCGCGCAGGCGGUCGAGUAAGUCGAAUGUGAAAGCCCCCGGCUUAACUGGGGAGGGUCAUUCGAUACUGUUCGACUUGAAGGCAGGAGAGGGCAGCAGAAUUCCCGGUGUAGUGGUGAAAUGCGUAGAUAUCGGGAGGAAUACCAGUGGCGAAGGCGGCUGCCUGGCCUGUUCUUGACGCUGAGGCGCGAAAGCUGGGGGAGCAAACGGGAUUAGAUACCCCCGUAGUCC